AGAGUUUGAUCAUGGCUCAGAACGUACGCUGGCGGCACGCCUUAUACAUGCAAGUCGAACGAAGUAGCAAUACUUAGUGGCAGACGGGUGAGUAACAUGUAGGUAUCUACCCUUUGGUGAGGAAUAACACGAGGAAACUUGUGCCAAUACCUCAUAAGUCUUUACGGAGAAAGCUUUAUGCGCCGAAGGAUGAGCCUGCACUUGAUUAGUUUGUUGGUGGGGUAAUGGCCUACCAAGACUUUGAUCUAUAGCUGAUCUGAGAGGAUGAUCAGCCACAUUGGGACUGAGACACGGCCCAAACUCCUACGGGAGGCAGCAGUAGGGAAUAUUGCACAAUGGAGGAAACUCUGAUGCAGCGAUGCCGCGUGAGUGAAGAAGGCCUUUGGGUUGUAAAGCUCUUUCGUCGGGGAAGAAAAUGACUGUACCCGAAUAAGAAGGUCCGGCUAACUUCGUGCCAGCAGCCGCGGUAAUAC
rnacentral:rRNA from 1 species